UACGAAGGGGGCUAGCGUUGCUCGGAAUCACUGGGCGUAAAGCGCACGUAGGCGGCUUGUUAAGUCAGGGGUGAAAUCCUGGAGCUCAACUCCAGAACUGCCUUUGAUACUGGCGAGCUUGAGUUCGGGAGAGGUGAGUGGAACUGCGAGUGUAGAGGUGAAAUUCGUAGAUAUUCGCAAGAACACCAGUGGCGAAGGCGGCUAUCUGGACGGUUUCUGACGCUAAGACGCGAAAGCGUGGGGAGCAAACAGG
rnacentral:rRNA from 1 species